AAGUGUGAAGACGUAGGUGGGUGUUAAUAUAUCUAGGUUCUUGACUCAUUAGUUGAAUGCUUGUCAGCUAAGGCUAUUAUUUCCUAGACCCAUGACUUCUUGUGUGAUACAGAAUGUGGUCACCGGCACAUCCUGUGAGUUAAACGUUCAUUUGCCUACCAGAUGUCUGGAGCUGUGCUGGUGAUUCUCCAUCAGCUUUCUCUCUCUCUAUGCAUAUAGGCACAUUCUAUCCGAUCUAUGAAAUGGCUAUGUGCCUGUGACUGUAUAUCAUGGCACAUAGGCUGUUGGGAUGAGAGCCAAGUUUGGCUGGGAAGGUUUUAUAGAAGAAGGGGUUUGGGGUAGAGUUCCAAAGGGAGGGGGAGUUAAAUACUUUGGCAGAAAGAAGGAGCAUACAUAAAGCUUCCAAGGCUGGAGUAAGUCAAACACAUUCGGGAAUAAGCACGAACCAUUUCAGAGCGAGUGAUAUAUUACUAGUUGAAGAGAGCCAGGCUGAAUGUGACGAGGCCAGGGCAUGAGUGUGGGAGAGAACAGGGAGGACUGUGGGAGCUUCUCUAUAGUCUACCUCGCUGGUAAAUGUCACCCUUGGAUACCAGCACCCUGGCCAUGUUGCCACCUAGUGGAACUGGCCCAGAUGCACCCGGGAGCAUCACCCACCUCUUCUCACUCCAGGUCAAAUUAACAGUGUGAUAUUGGUGGCAGGGAAGCUUACUGCUCUUUCCCCCCAGGGUAUUUUAGACAAAGAAUUGAACAAAGGGAUGGAUGGAACCAUGUUCUCCCAAAUUAUAUUAAUUUUGCCUUAGGGAAAAAAUGGAGCUGAAUGCCAAUAAAUAUAUUUAAAUAUAUAGAAUACAUUUAUCAAAUAUAAAGAAUUUCCCAUAGAGAACAAUUGCUGAGAGUGUGGAACACACAUGGCCCUUUGGCUCAGCACGUGGUGCGUGCGGAACCCAGCAUUGGGGGCGUUCUGCAGCGGAGCGCAGGCACAGCCCCUCUGGCUCUGGUUGGCUUGUUGUUUCAUGUGGUUGUAGAGUCCAUCCAGGUGCAGUGACUUCCUCCAGCAGCUGUCUCAGCGGUUCAUUCUGGUUGGGCCAGUGUGUCCUGCCCACCUACCGAGGACCGGUUGCAAACACAAGAAAGGGUCAGACCUCUCAUCCCCAAGGAGUCCCUUGUGAAAUAUCGCCUUUCUUUGUUUUGAUCUGGAACUAAUUCCUCUGGUUUUAUAAAUACUAUGAUCUCAUGAACCAGAAUCUGCAA